GGCUAACUCUGUCUAUUUUAUCUCUAAGGUGCAAGUCCAAUUGUAAGUCGAUCAUUUAUCAGGAUAACCCAUCGACACGGACGAUCAGCCAACGACGAUAAAAAGUCUAAAACAAUCUAUGACAAGCUAAAGAUCCAAAAGAACUGCUGUUGCGUAAAUGGAAAAUGUUAAACGUAAUAAAUAAACUGACAGUAUUUUAUAUUAAAUAAAAAUGUUUGAAAACUUAAA